GCAAUCUCACACUGCCCAGCUGUGUCCUGCCCGGGAUGUGGAUCAUGCCUUUGUCCAGUGUAUCCUGCUCCUUAGCCACUUGGUAGCCCUUUGGAUGAUCGGAUCGACUGUUGCAGGAUCGCAGCGCUUGUGUUUAUUUUAUUAAGAAUGGCUUCAAAGCACAGGAGUGGUGAUGCUGGCAAUUUGGCCGUGUCAAAGAGAGGCAUACCGUGCUUCCUUUAAGUGAACAGAGGAACGUUCUCUACAAAAUAAGGAAAGGAAACAAAUUAUACGCUGGGGCUGCUAACAUCUAAGACUCUCCCACACGGCUGCCCAGCACCCGAAAGCCAGAAGGAAGAAAGAGUGUAGCGAGGAGAGAGAAACUGAACAUGGCCAGUCCUUGCCUCCACAGUAAAAGAGUUGGGACAAAUUCAAUGGAUUUGAUCAAUGGAUCUAACAAAAUAAUUUGAGACUUUAUGGCUUAUUGAUCAAGGAACUAUGCCUGAGAGGUGCCCAUCCAUCACCUUUGAGGCCAGAGAACUCCCAGAGAAAACACUGCUCCUGCUGCAAAUCAUAGUCACCCUUCUGAAUUCAAAAGUUCAGUGGCUCUAUCCACCAGAAAAACCUCAGUAAGGCCGAACAAGGUGAUAUUCUUUCUGCAGGAGAGAAGGGAGGAUGACCUGAGAGGAGACACAAUGAACCGGAAACUGAGUACAUUAUGAGUAUAAUCUUCACCAUGACCUUGUCGGGUAGAUGAUGGAAUCCUGAUUCAACAGACAAGGGAAGUGAGGCUCACGGCAGUUAAGUGACCCAUCAGACACACAGCUAGCAUUUUCCUGGAUGAAAAGAAGAAUUUUGAAAGUGAAGGGGGAGAGGAGGGACAGUGUGGAAGUAUCCACUCCCCUCUGUGCCCAGCAGGGCACUGCCGUGCUUUCCAGCCAGCAUCAGGAAGCCAGCACCCAGGGAGAGCCUCCCACAGUGUUGCACUGAACACAGAGUUGGACACGGUCCCUAACUUGGUGACCUUUUGAAAGAGAUGUGCUCCCAAAAUGCCAGCAGGCACCGCCAGGCUGGCUGAAAGGAGCCUUUGCUGGGUUUCCUAGGUUUCUGGAGACACACUUCAAGAAGGUUAUAUAUGUGGUUUGUGCUGAAAUGGUAAUAAAUUAAAUUAUAGCUCUGGACUAGUUAUCUACCGUAUAAUGGUAGAUUGUUUCACUCUCUGAAAAACCAGAGACUCA